CAGUUGCCGCGGUAAUACAGAGGGUGCGAGCGUUAAUCGGAUUUACUGGGCGUAAAGCGUGCGUAGGCGGCUUCUUAAGUCGGAUGUGAAAUCCCUGAGCUUAACUUAGGAAUUGCAUUCGAUACUGGGAAGCUAGAGUAUGGGAGAGGAUGGUAGAAUUCCAGGUGUAGCGGUGAAAUGCGUAGAGAUCUGGAGGAAUACCGAUGGCGAAGGCAGCCAUCUGGCCUAAUACUGACGCUGAGGUACGAAAGCAUGGGGAGCAAACAGGAUUAGAUACCCCUGUAGUCCCUGUCUCUUAUAA
rnacentral:rRNA from 1 species